rnacentral:tRNA from 1 species
GAGGGUUUAGCUCAGUGGUAGAGCAUGUGCUUGACAUGCAGGAAGUGGUGAGUUCAAUCCUCA